CUGCUGUGUGAGAGGGGGCAGGUGCUGCUUGUUGAGGGGGGCAGUGGCUGCUGGGUGAGAGAUUGGGACAGUGACUGCUAGGUGAGAGAUGGGGACAGUGGCUGUUGGGCAAGAGGUCGGGACAGUGGCUGCAGGUUGGGGGGGCACGGGCUGCUGGGUGAGAAGCUGAGACAGGGGAUAGAGCAUAUGAGAGAGGCUGCUGGAUGAGAGGAAGGGCAGGGUGUGAGAGGGGACAUGGGACUGCUGGGUGAGAGGGGGAGACAGGGGUUGCAGUGUAUGGGGACAUGGGGCUGCAGGGUGAGAGGGGGGCAGGGUCUGCAAGGUGAGAGGGGCAGAGGCUGCUGGGUGAGAGGAAGGGCAGGGUGUGAGAGGGGACAUGGGACUGCUGGGUGAGAGGGGGAGACAGGGGUUGCAGUGUAUGGGGACAUGGGGCUGCAGGGUGAGAGGGGGUCAGGGUCUGCAAGGUGAGAGGGGCAGAGGCUGCUGGGUGAGAGGUGGUGGGACAGUGCUGGGAGUCCUGGGUGGUGCGACAGUAGCUUCUGGGUUAGAGGGGGAAAUAGAGGAUGCAG